rnacentral:rRNA from 1 species
CAGCAGCCACGGUAACACGGAGGGUGCAAGCGUUAAUAGGAAUUACUGGGCGUAAAGCGUGCGUAGGCGGUUCGUUAAGUCUGUUGUGAAAGCCCCGGGCUCAACCUGGGAAUGGCAAUGGAUACUGGCGAGCUAGAGUGUGUCAGAGGAUGGUGGAAUUCCCGGUGUAGCGGUGAAAUGCGUAGAGAUCGGGAGGAACAUCAGUGGCGAAGGCGGCCAUCUGGGACAACACUGACGCUGAGGCACGAAAACGUGGGGAGCAAACAGGAUUAGAUACCCCUGUAGUCCCUGUCUCUUAUAC